CUUUAGUUUGAAAGAUCCCCGAAGGGAGACCCUAACUCAAGGCUUGGGAGUCGCGGACCCCAGACACAGAGAGACCA
rnacentral:pre_miRNA from 14 species